rnacentral:misc_RNA from 1 species
UGUGACAAAGUUCUUGAUAUUGCUAGUAAUGAACUCGGAAACAUAGAUCCAUAUAGCAUCUUUACGCCGUCCUGUCCUGGAAAUGUUGUCUUCUCAAAUAACAAACUACUGAAAAAAUUGCAUUCAGUUGGGCGUAUUGGAGAAAAGUACGAUCCUUGCACUGAGAAGCACUCAACUGUUUAUUUUAACUUGCCCGAGGUUCAAAA